AAUCACUUCUGCAAGAGCCCAUUUUUGG
rnacentral:piRNA from 1 species